rnacentral:rRNA from 1 species
GAUGAACGCUAGCUACAGGCUUAACACAUGCAAGUCGAGGGGUAACGAGAGGAAAGCUUGCUUUCCUUGUCGACGACCGGCGCACGGGUGAGUAACGCGUAUCCAACCUGCCCCCAACUAAGGAAUAACCUUGCGAAAGCAAGACUAAUACCUUAUAAUUUCCUCAGAUGUCAUCUGACGAGGAAUAAAGAUUUAUCGGUUGUGGAUGGGGAUGCGUCUGAUUAGCUGGUUGGCGGGGUACCGGCCCACCAAGGCAACGAUCAGUAGGGGUUCUGAGAGGAAGGUCCCCCACAUUGGAACUGAGACACGGUCCAAACUCCUACGGGAGGCAGCAGUGAGGAAUAUUGGUCAAUGGGCGAAAGCCUGAACCAGCCAAGUAGCGUGCAGGAUGACGGCCCUAUGGGUUGUAAACUGCUUUUAUACAGGAAUAAAGUUAGCCACGUGUGGUUAUUUGUAGGUACUGUAUGAAUAAGGACCGGCUAAUUCCGUGCCAGCCGCCGCCGUAA